AAAUUGAAGAGUUUGAUCAUGGCUCAGAUUGAACGCUGGCGGCAGGCCUAACACAUGCAAGUCGAACGGUAACAGGAAGCAGCUUGCUGCUUUGCUGACGAGUGGCGGACGGGUGAGUAAUGUCUGGGAAACUGCCUGAUGGAGGGGGAUAACUACUGGAAACGGUGGCUAAUACCGCAUAACGUCGCAAGACCAAAGAGGGGGACCUUCGGGCCUCUUGCCAUCAGAUGUGCCCAGAUGGGAUUAGCUUGUUGGUGAGGUAACGGCUCACCAAGGCGACGAUCCCUAGCUGGUCUGAGAGGAUGACCAGCCACACUGGAACUGAGACACGGUCCAGACUCCUACGGGAGGCAGCAGUGGGGAAUAUUGCACAAUGGGCGCAAGCCUGAUGCAGCCAUGCCGCGUGUAUGAAGAAGGCCUUCGGGUUGUAAAGUACUUUCAGCGGGGAGGAAGGUGUUGUGGUUAAUAACCGCAGCAAUUGACGUUACCCGCAGAAGAAGCACCGGCUAACUCCGUGCCAGCAGCCG
rnacentral:rRNA from 1 species